AUCACGAACUAAUGAUCUGGUAACCCACAGAGCAAUACGGUUAGGUUUCAUCUGGGCCAAUUAGAGAGUUUGAGGUAAAUUCUCAAAUAUUAGCAGCCCACACAUGAGGUAGUUUUAGGAAAAUUCUCAAAUAUUAGCAACCCAAUUUAAAACCAAGAACUAAAACAGGUUGUUGAACAGAAGAAGACGAAGAAGAGUUGCAUCAGCUGCUUUUACCUGACAUUUGUGAUCUUUCUAUCACUCCUCCAUCUUCUGUUCAAACCAAUUUCGUCUCCUACUUCGUUCCAGGCUUCUGCUUUCUUUUUCUUUUUCUUUUUGCUUGAUUGAUGAUGCUUAACAAAGCAAAUACUUUUCUUAAUUUGUUGAAUUUUGGAUCAGAUUUUGUGAAGCCAGGACACGACCAGUACGUUUAUAGACAUGCCAUUGGGUACUAUUUUAAUUCUUUUGUUAAAAUAUAUGUGGGGUUUUGAUUAAUUGUUUAUGUAUUGUUUUUGUGAUGAAAAAAAGGUUAUGUGUUUGGCUCCGACCCAUGUGGCUUUUAAGGACGCAGGAGGAAUCACGGCUGUUGAUUUCAAUGUUGGAAAGUCUGAUCGUAGUGGCAUUAAGAAUGCACAACACUUUGAGUCUGACACUGCUCUGUGUAAAGUUUGCACCCAGAGCGAUUCUUAUAUUGUCAGAUGUUGUGUUAAAGGCUCUCUGUUGGAAGUGAAUGACAGACUAAUCAAACAUUCAAAAUUUGCUGAAUUCUUCAACAGGGAAGGGUACAUUGCCAUUAUCAUGCCCAAGCCAGCAGAUUGUCUGAAGGUCAAAGCUUCAUUGUUGGGCCUUGAAGAAUACAAGAAACUGGAGAAAAUAGCUGAGCUAUUUGGGAUGCUUGGAAAAGUUUUAUAGACUUCGAGAAUAACAAGGAAUUCAAGCUUCAUUUGGAAUUCCUCCAGCCAGCAAUUCUUUGAUGGGCCUCACCCCCAGGUAAGCUCAGCGUAGGGAGAAGCAAUUUCUAUCUGGAGCCUGUAUUGUAACACCAAAGAUCACCUCCUGCCACUAUCUCUCCAAAUAUUUUCAUCAUCCUUGUAAGAUCUUUUGUUGAUGAUCAUCAGCUCUACUAUUCUCGGGUGCAGCCAUUAUCUCGUCCAUAACAAGCCUUCUGGAUCUAUUUAUGGUAUGAAAACACAGGUAGAUGUGUUGCUCGAGUUCUUCUAGCUGCUCCAGAUAGCACAAGUCGUGAGUGUGAAAUUCUUUCACGACCUCUUUCAACAGUUCAGGUUUUUUAUUCCUUACACACAUAUCAGCAAGAGCUUUACGGCGUGCUACCUCAUCGAAUAACCUCCUCACGAGUCUACUCAUGGUAUCAAAAUCUUUGAUCAAUAUGUAAGUUCCUUUGGCUGCAAGAUCUAGCUGUGCACCAAGUCUUUUUUCAAGCAAGCUUGUCUCAAGCCCCCGAUGAACCAACUUGAUUUGCUUUCUGAAUACAUACAACGAGCAACCCAUUAUUCCUGGUGCAGCCACAAUGCCAACUAUGCCAUGGAUUGCAAUUACAAGCAAGGCAAUUAGAACUGCAGUAUGUGAUAUGACAAGACACCCUCCUCCAACCUUCAUGCAUAUCCUUCUGAACUUUGCUUUCCUCGUAAUCUUUCUCUGUUCUGAAUUCAAUCCAUGGAGCAACACCAAGUUGUUAUCAUGAAAAUCAUUGAAUUUUACAGUGGUAGAAAACAUCGAUAAUGGAUUUUCAAGCACUGCAUACGCAGCAAGCUCUCUAAACAUUGCGAUGCAAAUCUUAUCUGAAUAA